CAGUAGCGCCACAUAGGAAUCUUCGAAAUUCAAUUCACCCUCCGGCGGACAAAGGAUUUUUGAACAUUUUUUUAGGUCUCAGGUUUGCCCGUAAUCGUCUAAGGUAAUAAACAAAUUAUCCCAAAAACGAACAACCGCGAGAUUAAUAACGUCGAUCAAUUCCCGCAAAGUGGUGCAGAAUCGCGAUAACCAUUACCUUGCAUUUUUCGCCACGUAGAAGUAUCUGAUAAACCGAACAGCUUAAAGCGUUGAUUUAAAAUAUUGAAACCCGAGAUAGAUGGUCUCGAAUUUCAAACGUCCUCGCCACCACUACCACCACAACCACCGCCGUCGUCGUGGUCGUCGUCAGGAUAACUACGCAUGGCUUGAAAAGACCUCCCUGUUAUCCGACUGUUGCGAGUUAUACAACGCAGGAGGGUGUAAGUGUCUAAUAAAAACCUAGACAACGUACGGAGCGGAAUGACAAAGAUUAGAGAGAGAGGGAGAGAGAGAGAGAGAGAUUGAGAGACGGAGAGGGAGGGAGGGAGGGAGGAGAGAAA